AACUGAACCAAAAUAGUAAAAUAAGUUCGGUUUGGUUCGGUUCAAUUCAUAAGGUAAAGGUUUUUUUUAGUCCUGGUUCCAUUCGGUUCGGUUUAGAACCCCCAGUAAUAGUGCACAGCCCUAUUUAUAGGCCUGUUUUCGUUACUCGUGACCGCGACCGCGAUUUGAAACCAUGAAUAUAACCUUAACCUACUUCUCCUAUAAUUAUGCUGAAAUCCCUACUAAAUAGAAUUACAAU
rnacentral:misc_RNA from 1 species